GAUCAGCCAUGCCGCGUGUGUGAAGAAGGCCUUUUGGUUGUAAAGCACUUUAAGCGAGGAGGAGGCUACCGAGAUUAAUACUCUUGGAUAGUGGACGUUACUCGCAGAAUAAGCACCGGCUAACUCUGUGCCAGCAGCCGCGGUAAUACAGAGGGUGCAAGCGUUAAUCGGAUUUACUGGGCGUAAAGCGCGCGUAGGUGGCCAAUUAAGUCAAAUGUGAAAUCCCCGAGCUUAACUUGGGAAUUGCAUUCGAUACUGGUUGGCUAGAGUAUGGGAGAGGAUGGUAGAAUUCCAGGUGUAGCGGUGAAAUGCGUAGAGAUCUGGAGGAAUACCGAUGGCGAAGGCAGCCAUCUGGCCUAAUACUGACACUGAGGUGCGAAAGCAUGGGGAGCAAACAGGAUUAGAUACCCUGGUAGUCCAUGCCGUAAACGAUGUCUACUAGCCGUUGGGGCCUUUGAGGCUUUAGUGGCGCAGCUAACGCGAUAAGUAGACCGCCUGGGGAGUACGGUCGCAAGACUAAAACUCAAAGG
rnacentral:rRNA from 1 species